GGGAGCCUGAGAAACGGCUACCACAUCCAAGGAUGGCAGCAGGCGCGCAAAUUACCCAAUCCCGACACGGGGAGGUAGUGACAAUAAAUAACAAUACGGGGUUCUUAUGGAUCUCGUAAUUGGAAUGAGUACAAUUUAAAUCUCUUAACGAGGAACAAUUGGAGGGCAAGUCUGGUGCCAGCAGCCGCGGUAAUUCCAGCUCCAAUAGCGUAUANNNAAGUUGUUGCAGUUAAAAAGCUCGUAGUUGAAUUUCGGGGUUAGUAGGUUGGUCAUGCCUCCGGUAUGUACUGAUCUCACUGAUUCCUCCUUCCUUAUGAACCGUAAUGCCAUUAAUUUGGUGUUGCGGGGAAUUUGGACUGUUACUUUGAAAAAAUUAGAGUGUUUAAAGCAGGCUAACGCUUGAAUACAUUAGCAUGGAAUAAUGAAAUAGGACGUUCGAUCUUAUUUUGUUGGUUUCUAGGAUUGACGUAAUGAUUAAUAGGGAUAGUUGGGGGCAUUAGUAUUCAAUUGUCAGAGGUGAAAUUCUUGGAUUUAUUGAAGACUAACUACUGCGAAAGCAUUUGCCAAGGAUGUUUUCAUUAAUCAAGAACGAAAGUUAGGGGAUCGAAGACGAUCAGAUACCGUCGUAGUCUUAACCAUAAACUAUGCCGACUAGGGAUCGGAUGAUGUUAAUUUUUUAAUGACUCAUUCGGCGCCUUACGGGAA
rnacentral:rRNA from 1 species